GACGAACGCUGGCGGCGUGCUUAACACAUGCAAGUCGCACGCAGUGGCGAACGGGUGAGUAACACGUGAGUAACCUGCCCCCUUCUUUGGGAUCACGCCAGGAAACGGGUGCUAAUAAUGGAUAGUGGGGGAUGGGCUCGCGGCCUAUCAGCUUGUUGGGGUGGUGAUGGCCUACCAAGGCUUUGACGGGUAGCCGGCCUUCUCGGGUGACCGGUCACAUUGUGACGUAGAUCCGGCCCAGACUCCUACGGGAGGCAGCAGUGGGGAAGAUGUCACAAGGGGCGAAAGCCUGAUGCAGCGACGCCGCGUGAGGGAUGACGGCCUUCGGGUUGUAAACCUCUUUCGCUCAUGGUCGGGUAGUGGGUAAAGAAGCGCCGGCUAACUACGUGCCAGCAGCCGCGGUAAUUC
rnacentral:rRNA from 1 species